rnacentral:rRNA from 1 species
ACGAACGCUGGCGGCAUGCCUCACCCCUGCAAGUCGAACGAGACCUUCGGGUCUAGUGGCGCACGGGUGCGUAACGCGUGGGAACCUGCCCUUAGGUUCGGAAUAACUCCCCGAAAGGGGUGCUAAUACCGGAUAAUGUCUUCGGACCAAAGAUUUAUCGCCUUUGGAUGGGCCCGCGUUGGAUUAGCUAGUUGGUAGGGUAAAAGCCUACCAAGGCGACGAUCCAUAGCUGGUCUGAGAGGAUGAUCAGCCACACUGGGACUGAGACACGGCCCAGACUCCUACGGGAGGCAGCAGUGGGGAAUAUUGGACAAUGGGCGAAAGCCUGAUCCAGCAAUGCCGCGUGAGUGAUGAAGGCCUCAGGGUUGUAAAGCUCUUUUACCCGGGAUGAUAAUGACAGUACCGGGAGAAUAAGCUCCGGCUAACUCCGUG